rnacentral:rRNA from 1 species
GACGAACGCUGGCGGCGUGCCUAAUACAUGCAAGUCGAACGGAAAGGCCCUGCUCUUGUGGGUUGCUCGAUUGGCGAACGGGUGAGUAACACGUGAGUAACCUGCCCUUGACUUUGGGAUAACAUCAGGAAACUGGGGCUCAUAUAGGAUAGGAUCUCCUGCUGCACGUUGGUGGUUGGAAAGUUUCGGCGGUUGUGGAUCGACUCGCUGCUUAUCCGCUUGAUGGUGGGGUAGUUGCUUACCAAGGCUUUGACGGGUAGCCGGCCUGAGAGGGUGACCGGCCACAUUGCGCCUGAGGUACGGACCAGACUCCUACGGGAGGCAGCAGUGGGGAGUAUGGCGCAGUGGGCGGAAGCCUGAUGCAGCAGCGCCGCGUGCGGGAUAACGGCCUACGGGUUGUAAACCGCUUUCGCCUGUGACGAAGCGGGAGUGACGGUAAUGGGUAAAGAAGCACCGGCUAACUACGUG